UGGGGAAUAUUGGACAAUGGGGGACCGUAGCAUCCAGCCAUGCCGCGCUGUGUGAAGAAGGCCUUAUGGUUGUAAAGCACUUUAAGCGAGGAGGAGGCUCUUUUGGUUAAUACCCAAGAUGAGUGGACGUUACUCGCAGAAUAAGCACCGGCUAACUCUGUGCCAGCAGCCGCGGUAAUACAGAGGGUGCGAGCGUUAAUCGGAUUUACUGGGCGUAAAGCGUGCGUAGGCGGCUUUUUAAGUCGGAUGUGAAAUCCCCGAGC
rnacentral:rRNA from 1 species